GAGAAGAACGCAGCGAAAUGCUAUAAGUAAUGUGAAUUGCAGAAUUCAGUGAAUCAUCGAAUCUUUGAACGCACAUUGCGCCCGCCAGUAUUCUGGCGGGCAUGCCUGUUCGAGCGUCAUUACAACCCUCAGGCCCCCGGGCCUGGCGUUGGGGAUCGGCGGAAGCCCCCUGCGGGCACAACGCCGUCCCCCAAAUACAGUGGCGGUCCCGCCGCAGCUUCCAUUGCGUAGUAGCUAACACCUCGCAACUGGAGAGCGGCGCGGCCACGCCGUAAAACACCCAACUUCUGAAUGUUGACCUCGAAUCAGGAAGGAAUACCCGCUGAACUUAAGCAUAUCAAUAAGCGGAGGA
rnacentral:misc_RNA from 1 species